AUGAGAGCACACAAGGCAGCCGAUAGACUCCAGAAAAGAGGUGCCUGCCCAGAAGACAACCAAAGAAUGAAAAGGAGGGGCAGAAUUUCAGUGCUGCAAAGAGCCCAUUUUCUGGAAGAGUUCUGCUUUUCCAACCUUUUCUGUUGCCUACUACAGUAUUACAAAGAAAUCUACACCUGCCAAAGCAGCUACCGUUGGAUAAGAGCCCUGGAAACCCAUAACAGUGUUGCAGUGAACUCGUUUGAUAUGAUGGGAAGCUCAAAUGAAAAGAGAUCAUUAAGUGCCCAAUGCCUGGAAGUACGAUGGAUGCUGUACAAGACAAAGAUGGUACGGACAUUUGUCCAGCUAUUUUGGAGAAAAGACAGACAGCUUAAAAGCCAAAAAAUAAAAAUUGGACAAGAGAUUCACAAAGUUUCUACCUUUGAUUAAAAAAACUUGAUUAAAAACUCUUUGGAUCGACACUUGGUUUCUUUUCAGUUUUGCUCUAUAGCUACAGACAAAAAAGGACCUUCGAGUUCAGUAUUUUGUUCCUCUCCCUUGCAGGCAAUUUCUUAUGCCAAUAACCAGGCCAUUUUUUCCUUACUCUUGCUGGUUGUCCUGCGGUCACUUCACACAGGUGGCACAGGGCAGGGCUGAGCAGUUCACUGUUCAAAGGGGGCCUGCCAGGUAUGCUGCAUCCCUUGGACCGAUGACAGACGGAGCCUCAGAGACCCCACCAGUGGCACCAGCUACUGCUGACAUCAGGGGGUUGGACACAAGGAGGUAACGACUCUGAGAUGAUCUCGUAACACAAGGUAUUUAAUUGAGAUAGAAAUGCAGUACAUGUUGUAUUUGCGUCAUGCUGAAGGAUGGUGUGGAUUAGUUUCUAACUUAAGCGUAGACAAAGGCAUGACUCCUAUAAAAAUAUGGAUUGAACUACAAACCAAACCAAAACUACCAUUGAGGUUGUCAGUAGAAUUAUACUAAAAUCAGUAAAUAUGCACACACAUGCACCUGCAUGCACAAAAUAGUAUAAGGCUACAAGGUCUGAUUUUCAGUGUUGGGGCAGCGAGGAGUGGCCUUCACGUAAAACUGAAGUGUAUCAGCUUAUUCCAGGACAUUGUAAAGGAGCUUGUCCAAAUGAUAACCGAGACCCACAUGCCUUUGUAAAGCAAACACACACAAUUUUGUGUCUUUAAUUUAAAAUGAAAGCUGCAGCGUACCGGGCAGCGAUCUCCUAAUGGAGUAUUUCUGCACACAGGAGAUUGGCUCCUAAAGUCCAAGGAUAUCAAGGAGGAAAGUACACGAAUUCCUAUAACUUCUUUUAUUUUUAAUUCAGAAAGAGUCUCUUUGGCCACUUGUUCCAAUUAGAUGCUCUUGAAUUCUUCAAUGCAGAGGAAGGGGAAGAGAAAGAAAACUGCCAACGCUUGCAGUACUGGAACUGAGCCCUUGGGGUUCAGCUAAGGACAAGAAUUCAGAGGCUUGAACACUUACCUGGAGUUUCAGACAAAAUUAUCCAGGCAUGGAGCGUCUCAUCCGCAGGUGCUGUCCUUGCAGUUCACCUCUUGCAAAAUGGGACUGUGGCUUUCCUGACAGCAGAGGGGCUGGGGGCCCCCUCUCUAUUUAAUAGUGAGGAGACUGCCUCAAACCUCCUCCAAUGCUGCAGUCUCAGUUGUGGCAGCAGAAAUCCUGACACAGGAUCAGACACACCACCUGAUUCAACAACACGAUUUAACCCCGGAAUUCACAGGGUUAAUGUUCAUAUUCAGGACCCACCAGUUCCUUAGAUGCGGGAGAAGACUUUUGGUGUUUCUGCUGCCUUUCCUGGUAGCAUGCUCCAUUGCCUAAUAAAACUCUCCCUGAAAUUGUAAAGUUUCUCUUA
rnacentral:lncRNA from 1 species